rnacentral:piRNA from 1 species
UGGGUGCUGUUUUGUGAUUACUAUUCUUCA